rnacentral:sRNA from 1 species
GCUGGGUGUGGUGGUGCACACCUGUAAUCCCAGCAGCUUGAGAGGCUGAGAUAGGAGGAUCGUGAGUUCAAAGCCAGCCUCAGCAAAAAGUGAGGAACUAAGCAACUCAGUGAGACCCUGUCUAUA